AAAGGAAGAAAAAAAAAUCAAAUGGAACCAGAGUGAGCAUAAGCUCAACCUAAGGAGGGACAGACAUUUGUUGCAGCCCUAACUUAGCCUACACUAACUCUCCCACUAUUUCCAUCAUGGGCCUUUUAUCCCUCUGAACUGCUGACAUGCACUUUUGUUUUAGACUUUUGUUUUAAUGGGCAGAGAUAUUUGCUGUGUAAGCCUUAGCUAGCAAUGCAGAAUAUUAAGAAGCCCACUUAUGAUUCUGAGCCACAACCCUGCAUCAAAUAUCUCAGAAGCAUUUUGUUUCCAGCAGAGUUUUUUUCAAGCUGAUGGGAAAGUGAAUGCCACGGGGCCAUAAGAAGGACAAAUAGAUCUAAGUCUGUGUACGAGGUCCCACUGAUUGGCUCUCCUUUCCAAAAGAUGAUGCUCCCCCACCAUGAGAGUCCCACACUUAAAGCUAUGAGAAAUGUGAUAGAAAAAAUGCUCACUCGGAAGGACACAGAGAAAGAUGAUCAAAAGAGAUGAUGGACACGCGGGUCAGUGAAUUGAGAGGGGAGACUUAACCUGAAUAUGGACAGAACCAUCAAAAACUCUGGAAGCCUGGAUAAAAUAAAAAGUGGGAGAUGGAAGAAAUCAGCCCGCACAUGUGGGCUCCAUUUUGCUUGACUUUACUCAUGAUCCUCAGUGGAGUCAAGAUGAAUCCACAUUAGUGAAACAAAAGAGAAGUUUUCUUUUAUACUCCACUUCUGCAAACCAAGAGUCCUACUUGUGAACAAAAGCCUUAUGAGUUGCUGGGUAAGGUGCUGAAUCUGCAUCAGAAGACCUAGGCUCAAAUCUGGUGCCCUCAUCUGCCAGCUGUGUGAAAUCCAAACAUUAUCAUGUCCCAGAUGCCCAAGCCUCCAGAAAAACCAAAAUAUGCAAGUAAUUCCAAUCUUUUCUCAAGGUCUUAAGAAAAUUCAAAUUCAAUUUGUUUUUUUUGUUUGUUUGUUUGUUUUUUGUUUUUUUGGUACUGGGGAUCGAACUCGGGACCUUGCCCUUGUGAGGCAGGCGCCGGAACCACUGAGCUAAAUCCCUGGCUCAAUUUGUAUUUUUAAUGCAAAGUUAAACUUUACAAUCCUUCUCAGACAUCUCUCUCAUGGAUAAGUUUUUCAUGAAGGAGCUAAAGGUCUCUCCACUAUCUCACUCAUUUCUUCCCUCCCAUUCAUUCUUGCCUACUCAUUCCUUCCACUAGCAGCCC
rnacentral:lncRNA from 1 species